rnacentral:rRNA from 1 species
GGUUGAUUAUGGCUCAGAUUGAACGCUGGCGGGAUGCUUUACACAUGCAAGUCGAACGGCAGCACGGACUUCGGUCUGGUGGCGAGUGGCGAACGGGUGAGUAAUGUAUCGGAACGUGCCUAGUAGCGGGGGAUAACUACGCGAAAGCGUAGCUAAUACCGCAUACGCCCUUCGGGGAAAGCGGGGGGACCUUCGGGCCUCGCACUAUUAGAGCGGCCGAUAUCGGAUUAGCUAGUUGGUGGGGUAACGGCUCACCAAGGCGACGAUCCGUAGCUGGUUUGAGAGGACGACCAGCCACACUGGGACUGAGACACGGCCCAGACUCCUACGGGAGGCAGCAGUGGGGAAUUUUGGACAAUGGAAACCCCUGAUCCAGCCAUCUCCCGCGUGUGCGAUGAAGGCCUUCGGGUUGUAAAGCACUUUUGGCAGAAGAAACGGCCUGGGAUAAUACCCCGUGCAACUGACAGUACCUGCAGAAUAAGCACCGGCUAACUACGUGCCGGCAGCCGCGGUAAUACGUAGGGUGCAGCGUUAAUCGGAAUUACUGGGCGUAAAGCGUGCGCAGGCGGUUCGGAAAAGAAAGAUGUGAAAUCCCAGAGCUUAACUUUGGAACUGCAUUUUUAACUACCGAGCUAGAGUGUGUCGAAGGGAGGUGGAAUUCCGCGUGUAGCGGUGAAAUGCGCGUAGAUAUGCGGAGGAACACCGAUGGCGAAGGCAACCUCCUGGAUAACACUGACGCUCAUGCACGAAAGCGUGGGGAGCAAACAGGAUUGAAUGCCCUGGUAGUCCACGCCUAAACGAUCAUCAGCCUGAUGACCCGGGGCCUUCGGGCCUUGGUAGCGCAACCUAACGUGAAGUUGACAACGCAAAUUACAGUCGCAAGAUUAAAACUCAAAGGAAUUGACGGGGACCCGCACAAGCGAUGGAUGAUGGAUUAAUUCGAUGCAACGCGAAAACCUUUACCUACCCUUGACAUGUCUGGAAUCCCGAAGGGUUGCAGGAGUGCUCGCAGAGAACCGGAACACAGGUGCUGCAUGGCUGUCGUCAGCUCGUGUCGUGAGAUGUUGGGUUAGUCACAACGAGCGCAACCCUUGUCAUUAGUUGCUACGAAGAGGGCAUACUCUAAUGAGACUGCCGGUGACAAACCGGAGGAAGGUGGGGAUGACGUCAAGUCCUCAUGGCCCUUAUGGGUAGGGCUUCACACGUCAUACAAUGGUCGGGACAGAGGGUCGCCAACCCGCGAGGGGGAGCCAAUCCCAGAAACCCGAUCGUAGUCCGGAUCGCAGUCUGCAACUCGACUGCGUGAAGUCGGAAUCGCUAGUAAUCGCGGAUCAGCAUGUCGCGGUGAAUACGUUCCCGGGUCUUGUACACACCGCCGUCACACCAUGGGAGUGGGUUUUACCAGAGUAGUUAGCCUAACCGUAAGGAGGGCGAUUACCACGGUAGGAUUCAUGACUAGGAGUGAAGUCGUAACAAGGUAA